rnacentral:rRNA from 1 species
UCCUUAGAUGUCCUGGGCCGCACGCGUGCUACACUGACACUUACACCGAGUUUUUCCGGCCCCGAGAGGUGGCUGGUAAUCAGUAAUAGGUGUCGUGAUGGGGAUAGAUCUUUGGAAUUAUUGAUCUUGAACGAGGAAUGCCUAGUAAUCGUAGGUCAUCAGCCUGCGAUGAUUACGUCCCUGCCCUUUGUACACACCGCCCGUCGCUCCUACCGAUUUCGAGUGGUCCGGUGAACCUUUCGGACAGAGAGAGUCUCGUACAAUCUCUGAAAGUCAAGUAAACCACAUCACUUAGAGGAAGGAGAAGUCGUAACA